GACGGGGCCCGCACAAGCAGCGGAGCAUGUGGUUUAAUUCGAAGCAACGCGAAGAACCUUACCUAGACUUGACAUCUCCUGAAUUACCCGUAACUGGGGAAGCUCUUCGGAGCAGGAAGACAGGUGGUGCAUGGUUGUCGUCAGCUCGUGUCGUGAGAUGUUGGGUUAAGUCCCGCAACGAGCGCAACCCUUAUCGUUAGUUGCUACCAUUAAGUUGAGCACUCUAGCGAGACUGCCCGGGUUAACCGGGAGGAAGGUGGGGAUGACGUCAAAUCAUCAUGCCCCUUAUGUCUAGGGCUACACACGUGCUACAAUGGUGAGGACAAAGAGACGCAAGACCGCGAGGUGGAGCAAAUCUCACAAACCUCAUCCCAGUUCGGAUUGCAGGCUGAAACUCGCCUGCAUGAAGCCGGAGUUGCUAGUAAUCGCGAAUCAGCAUGUCGCGGUGAAUACGUUCCCGGGCCUU
rnacentral:rRNA from 1 species